rnacentral:lncRNA from 10 species
AACCAGCAGAUGAGCAGGUAGCAUCAACGCAGAACAUGCACUUUGGCAGGGCUGGCUUCUCUGUCCUUCUCUCCUGCCUGUACUCAUCCUCCCCAACAUGGAAGGAGCUGACAACUGUCAAGAACUGUCCCCUGCCAUUUCACCUGAGCUGACCUGAUCUCCCCAGGGGAAUGAGCCUCGUCUUGCAAGUCCCCUUCUUUGGGUCCCUGGCAGCGCUGCUGCAGGAUACAAGGAACAGGAUGCUAUGACGAGAUAUGCAUUGAGAAGCUUCAGUCCUGCCUCCAUCCUUAUCUUCUUCUCCCUGGACCAAAAGUGAUAAUUGUCAUUUGAUCCUUAUUUAUUUUUAGAAAUAAAACUCUUAUGCAGAUACCAACACAUACAAAUCUGUAUUCUUAUACCCUCUAUUUCUUACACACAAGGUAGCAUAUUAUAUUCACUGCUUGACAUGUUACUAUAUUUAUUUGUACUUUAUUGAGCUAUAACAUAUACAGUAAAAUAUACAAAACAUAAUGCAUAGGCCAGUGAAUUUUUUCCUUUUUUUAAAUUUAUUUUUCUUGUAUGACUAUUAAAAACAGCUUUAUUGAGGUCCAAUUGAUAUAUAAUAGUAAACUGGAAUAUAUACACACCCAUGAACCAUCACCAUAAUUGAAAUAAUGAAAAUAAUCAUCACCUUCAAAAGUUUCCUCUUAGGCCAGGUGUGAUGGCUUAUGCUUGUAAUCCCAGCACUUUGAGAGUCUGAGGUGGGAGGAUCACUUGAGCCCAUGAGUUCAAGACCAGCCUGGACAACAUGGCAAAACUCCAUCUCCACAAAAAAAUACAAAAAUUAGGUGGUGUAUGUCUGUAGUCCCAGCUACUCAAGAGGCUGAGGCAGGGGGAUCUCCUGAGCCCAGGAUGUUGAGACUGCAGUGAGCCCUGAUCAUGCCCCUGCACUCCAGCCUGGGCGACAGAGUGAGAUCCUGUCUAUAAAUAAAGUUUCCUCUGGCCUCUAUAUUUUCUUAUUAGCUUGUAAAGGUGAGCAGAUUGAUGAGUUGGGUUGAAGAUAUCUAACAUUAAGCUGAUCACAACCUCAUGGUUCCUUCCUAGAGGCUCCUUUAGUUUCUUUCUUUUCUUUUCUUCUCUUCUCUUUUUUUUUUUUCCGAGACAGGGUCUCACUCUGUUGCCCAUGCUAGAGUGCAGUGGUAUGAUCAUAGCUCUCUGCAGUCUUAAAUUCCUGGUCUUAAGCAAUGCUCCUACUUCAGCCUCCCAAGUAGCUGGGACUACAGGGGUGUGCCACCAUGUCCGGCUAUUUUUUGUAGAGACAGAGUUUCACCAUGUUUCCCAGGCUGUUCUCCUAGUGUCAAGAGAUCUGCUCGCCUCAGCCUCCCAAAGUGCUGGGAUUACAGACAUGAGCCACCGUGACCAGCUGAGUCUGCUUUUGUUUCUUAAGAAUCCAGGAACUAGGUAAUAAAUGUAUGUCUUUGCUACUCCUAAGUCUUAUUAAUCACUUACAUUUCUGACAAUUAAUCAUUGGACCUCAAGGGACUUUGAUAAGAUUAAUUUGAAGUUCUCAGCAGUAGAAAGUUUAUUUUGUCAGUCUGCAAAGCUUCUGGUGUCAGAGGUUCUGGUUCAGGGCUGUUUGACUCAAAGAACCAAGGGACUCUUGGAAAAAGAAACAAGACUUACAUGGAAUUUCAGGAUCUCCAUUGUUUAUAAGCCAUAAUUCUGGGAAGAAGGAAAUGAACUCUAAUUAAGCACCUCUAUGGGUCAGAUACUUUAUAUAAAACAAAGAAUUUAAUCCUCAACAAUAACCUGCCACAGAGAUGAGAUUAUCACCAUUUUUACAGAAGAGGAAAUAGGAUCUGAGAGCCUAAGCAACUUGCCCAAGGUGACUCAGUAAGUGGCAUGAGCUGGAGUUGAAACCCAGAGCUAUAUUGCUAUAGAGCCCAUCCUUUCUAUUUCAUGGCCCUACUCUCUGUCCCCUGCCCCUAGAUAAUAUUAACAAUUGAUAGACAGAUAAGUAGAUAGAUAGAUAAAUAGAUACAGAUACACACACAUAUAUCUGUAUAUCAGGAUGUGCUAUAUAUUACAUUUUAUUUAUUUCCAAAGGCCUUAGGAAAAAAACAAUAGCAGUGUAGAACAUGAAGGCAAAUGGUUACAAAAUACAUGGAUACGUGUAUUUUACUGCUGAUAUAAAUUUAUGUCUAUUGAGUUAUUCCCAAGUUAACAAGGACCGAGAAGUUACUGUGGCCUAAGAAUUGUGCUCUGCAUGUUGGUAGAGACAAAAUAAGCAGCGUCUACUGGCAAAGACUGUAUCAUGUUGCCGGAGAAGUGAAGCAUUAAGUAGAAACUGUGUGUAGUGGCUGUGAGGGCAGCAUGGUUCUGCAAAGGGCUUGAUUGGCGGGAAGAGGAUUAGAUUCCCGCAUGUGUAGUUGGGAAUCUGAUCUGUAAAAGCCAGACACUGAGGUUUUGAUGUCUUUCUCCAGUUCACACAAAGAGCUAAUAGCUGGGCUGGGACUAUGUCUUAAGCAUCCUGGAUAGUUAACAUCUUACCAACCUCUGUCUUCCCCAAAAGCUGCAAUCUCCAUAUGCAGGAGCCAACAUCAGUUUGCUGCAAGGGAGGAGAAUGAGGACUAUUGUAUCAACUGGAGUCCCAUAGAAAACAAAUGACACACUCAAAAGGGGUGAUCAAGAGUUCCAUGGAGGGGCCGUUGACAAAGGUAGAGCCGGUUUAGAGAAAAGCAAUAAGGGAUGCGGAAGCCUCAGGAUCAGCAGCAGCAGGAAGCCACUGGCACCGAGUGCCAAGGGGUAGGGAGCGGUAGCUGAGGUGUGGUGAGCUGUAGGUACAGAAGCACUGCUAUUGCUGCAUCAGAGGUAUCAAUAUUCCAUCCUCACUCUCUCAAUGCCCUCUGAUCACACGCCUGGUGCCCUGGAAGACAGAGGUCACUGGAGCUGUGUGGUUGCAGUCGUUAGAGGUCAGCUUCCUGGCUGCAGCACAGUGCAGAAAGGAAAUGGACAGAGAGUGGUUCUGGCAGGACAGAUGGAGACUAUCCAGUGCAAAAUCCAUGCUGGGGAAAUUUAAGAGUUUUCUUGGGAGUGCAUUAAAGGAGCUAUUGCAGGUGCCUUAGAAUCUCAGAGUCUUAAAGUCACUCCCUUCCAUAAUCCAAUAGCUUGUUCUUGUUCUCAGGAAAGCUCUAUAAACCCAGGGCCUUAUUCUUAUUGUAGUCAUCAUUUCCAGCAGAGCACAGAUUCAAGAGCCAGCUGUUUAACUCAUGACCUUGCUGAAGAGGUGGUAAUGGGGCUAUUCUUAGUGAUCACAUUGUUAUGGGUUAGCAACUUGAUGUUCAAGGUAGUGGGCACCUAGAUAUCUCUGAAUGAUGGUGUUUGUUGGUUUGAAAGAGGUCUCCCUCAUUAAUUCAUUAUCUUGCUGGAGAGGCAGUUGCAUUUUGGCUUCAGCCUUUAAAUGAUAGUGGCUCUAUUUCCGACUUGCUUGGAAACUAUUAUUAACUAUUAUUCCCAACAAUACACUUGCAUAUUUGACAAUCUAGAAACCAAAUUUAGCCAUGCAAAUUAUAGACAACUGCUCUCUUAUAAUGUCACUGUGAUGUCCCAGUUUUUAAGAAAUGGAAGAUUAACAAAGCCAGCUUCAAAUGCUUAAAACAAUAUUUUAUGUAAGAAGCCAUUUUCCCCCAGAGAUGCAUAGACCUGUAAAAUGUUUCCAGAGCUCUUUGGAAGAUAACCAAUAUUUCUCUCAAAGGAAGGGGAAGUAGCAGAACAUCAAAUAUACGCAAAAACCCUUCAAAGCUGGAAGUGCCAUCAGCUUACUAAGGAAUUAUGUUAAAAAUAAGGGAAACUUAAGAGGUCACUUAAAUGAUUUAAACACCAUAUUUUCCCUCUUCUCCAAAAAUCCCCCAAGACAAUGCUCAUAAUGUUAGACUGACCUUUUAGCAUAUGUGAUUUUAGUGAAAGACAUUUCUCUUCUUCUAAAUAUAUCUCAAACCAUUCUUAAAAGUAAUGAUUUCUCAUUAAGGCUCUUGCACCUGCUUGUGAAGAAAAGACAUCUGACCUUUAAAAAAUAUUCCAUGGGUCUGAAUCAUCUAAGUAUAUUGUAGCUUUAUUCUUGCAGACAAGGGAAACCAAGAAUGAUCUGGAUAAUGGAGAAACCUGUUAAUACAACUGGAUUUGAAUCACACUACUGGCUGAAAUUCACACAACCGGAUUGGGAUCCCACUGUGUAAUUUUAGGAUGCUCAAGCAUCAUGGCAUCAUUUCCAGUGGAGUCGCUGAACUUGUAGGUUGUCUACCUGACACCUCGAGGUCCUUACACCAAGAAGUCAGCUGUGAAGCCCGCUGAGUCCUCGGGUGGAUGUCUGCCACCACAUACAUAGCCUUUGCUGGUGGCUUGGAGAGCUGGCAGGUCAGCCACAGAAAGUGGGCAAGACCUAGUCAGUAGCGACAGGAUAUGUUCCCAGGAUGGACAGCUGCCUGAUAUGCGUUCAGUUCCAGUGCCAAAGCCAAGGGCUGCCAGUGCCCUUCCUUCAUGCUAAGGACUUCUCUCUCUCCAGGACAGCGGAUGCCUGUUUGGAAGGCUGGAUUGGACUGAGCCACAUGGCAGAGCCUUGGAGAUGGCAGGGGAGGGAAGUCGAAGACAUGGAGUGGUUUGACAUUUGUGCAUAGUAUGAAGAAAGAUCAUCAAGGCUGAAAUGUGUCUGCUAAGAGGCUUCAGCUCAUGUUUGCUAAUCUCCUGUAUGGUGAAACACUGGCACCCAGACAAACCCUCAUUCACAUCAGAACAAAGCGCUAGUUAUGUGUGUUGAAAUUCCUUAAAGAAAAUGUCUUGCAGGCUGCUGGGGAGUGCGUGAAUGCUGGAAAUGCUUCACCAAGAGUUACUCAAUGUCCUGGGAAGACGGUCUGCUGGCAUCUGAGGGCUCACCCUAGAGAAGAGUGGUUGUACUCCAGGGCACAUGGGUCUGGUGAGGACAGAGAAGCAUGGGUGGAUGGGUGGGUGGAGAUGAGGGUGGAUGUUUUCUCUGUAAUCGUCUCCGGCCAGGCUGGAGCCCGAACCAGACUACCCACUUUAUUAGUCCAUUGAGAAUAUCUAAAGUCAGGCUUCUCAGCACAGCUGCCAUUUCCCCUGCUUGGGACCAGAUUUUCCUGUUUUCUGAGGGCUUCCAAGUAAGUUGGAAGUUCCUUGGGUUUCCACAACUUUGACUUAAUGAAGAAACAAGGUCAAGAAUCAGAGGAAAGGUUUUUGGAUGGGCCUCAGAGGUCUGAAAUGGUUAGGUGGGAGUCUAAAGGUAUAGGAGAGAAACUAAAUCAGUUGUAGCCCCAGCUGUUUGGAGAUGAUGCCAGCAGAUGGGAUUGAGUAAGCGACCACAGGUUGCAGAGGGUGGCAGAUGGGAGGCGGAUGUGGAAAUGGGGUCCCAGUCAGAAAUGAACACCACUAGAGGAGCAGGAAGAAGGGCCAAGCAAGAGCAGUGGUUCUCAUUGUGGUUUCUGGACUAGCGGCGGCAGCAGCACCCACGAUGUAGAUGUCAACUCUUAACUCCACUCGGAAACCCACUGAAUCAGAAACUCAGGUGGUGAAGCCCAACCAGCGGUACUUGAAUAAGUCCUCCAGUGAGUCUGAUGGACACUAAAGUUUAAGAACCACUGAGUCAGGGAACCCCAAGGGAGGCAAUUGCUAAGGAACUGCAAGAGAGGAAUUAGGGGCUGGGCCAGGGGCCAGGCGCGGUGGCUCACACCUGUAAUCCCAGCACUUUGAGAGGCUGAGGCAGGAGAAUGGCUUGAGCCCAGGAGUUCAAGACUAGCCUGGGCAACAUAGUGAAACCCUGACUCUACAAAGAACACAAAAUUGGCCAGGCAUGGUGGUAGCCACCUGCAGUCCUAACUACUCGGGAGGAUCACUUGAGCCUGGGAGAUGGAGGUUGCAGUGAGCUGAGAUCACACCUCUGGGCUACAGCCUGGGUGAUAGAGCAAGACCCCAUCUCAAAAAAAAAAAAAAAAAAGACGGCAGGAUUAGGGAAACUUCUAGAAUGAGGAGGAGAUGGCCCUGAAAGCACAGGGGGACAAGGAGAGUGAACUGAAAAGUAGAAAGAAGUUCUUCUCCAUAAGAAAAAAAGGUGAUGAGAGCUACAAUAAAAAACUACUAGUCACAACGGCUGCAGCUCAAGGUAGCCUGGAUUCUUGAUAAGCACACACCCGCCACUGGUGUCACGCUGAAGCUGGAAGGACCGCCUCUGCUAACAACAGUGAAGAACAAAUGUGGAUGCAAAUGGCUCUUAGAAGUCAGACAAAGGGAAGUUGCAUUGCUGAGAUUCACCUGCAGGUCCCAGCAUGGCUCAUUUGUUCUCUGGAGUAGUGGGUUGAAUGGUAGCCCCCCGCCCCCAUAGAUAUCCUAACCCCUAGAAUCUGUGAACGUGAUCUUAUUGUGGCAGCAGGCCUGUAAUCCAAGCUACUCUGGAAGCUGAAGGGGGAGGAUUUCUUGAGGCCAGAGGUUCGAGACCGGCCUAGGCAACAUAGCAAGAGACCCCUUCCAUCUCCAAAAAAUGAAGGAUAUCCAGAUGAGAUCAUCCUGGAUUAUCUGAGUGGGUCUUAAAUCCAAUGACAUCCAAAUUUAUAAGAGAUGAAAGAGGAGGAAAAGAGAGAUAUGCAGAGGAGAAGGUGAUGGGAAGAUGGAGGCAGGAAUUGGAGUGACACAUCCAUAAACAUGUAGACAUAAAGGGAAUGCCUGUAGUCACCAGCAGUGGGAAGAGGUAAGGCGGGAUUGUCCCGCAGAGCCUUCAGAGGAGGCAUGGCCCUGCUAACACCUUGAUUUUUGGACUUCUGACCUCCAGAAAUGAAAGAAAAUAAAUUACUAUUGCUUUAAGCCACCAAAUUUGUGGUGAUUUAUUAUAGCAGCUCUAGGAAAUUAAUAUACCUGGCUUAAGGGAAGAGGCAUGGGAUUUGAAGACAGACAGACUGGUGUCUUGAACUUUUUGAAUGUUACUCCCUAGGGUGGGAUGUGAACUCUGAGUCACAGCAGUCCCCACGUGGCUUGAGUCCCUCAUUACUUUAGCUAUCUGCCUCCUAUGAGCAUCUUAGCUUUGUAUCCUCUGGGUAACUUCACCUCUCCAGUCUUCUCCACCUUUGACAUCUUAUUAUUCCAGCAAGGGGGGUGGGGAAGGUGGAUUACCUCAAAUCUUUGGAGCAAUGUUUGGGGAUGAUGUAGUCUACCAUCCUUUGAAUAGCUUGGCUGAUUUACCAUUGAGGAAGAAAGAAAUUUCUUCUUGAGAUGUAGUGUGAUGCCUUUUUCAGAACCAGCCACUCUAGUGAUUUUUAAUAAAAAAAAUUAUUGUCUCAUGGCUGGGUUUCUGUCAUUCCUUCCAGAAGGUGGGAGGCUGUGAGUUUGGAAAAUUAGUGUCUGGUGACUGUGGGUGAGAAGGCCCUUUCCUACAUAACAGAAGAAAUAAACAC